rnacentral:rRNA from 1 species
UACCAUGCAAGUCGAACGANAAUGAGGGGGCAACUCCUCUAGUAAAGUUGGCGAACGGGUGCGUAACACGUGGGAUAAUUUACCUUUCGGCGUGGGACAACAGACCUAACGGACUGCUAAUACCACAUACGUCGGCGGGGACUCUGGUUCCUGUCGAGAAAGAUGGCCUCUCCUUGGAAGCUGUCUCCGAAAGAUGAACCCGCGGCCCAUCAGCUAGUUGGCGAGGUAACGGCUCACCAAGGCUAAGACGGGUAGCUGGUCUGAGAGGAUGAUCAGCCACACUGGGACUGCGACACGGCCCAGACUCCUACGGGAGGCAGCAGUGGGGAAUAUUGGGCAAUGGGCGAAAGCCUGACCCAGCCACGCCGCGUGAGUGAUGAAGGCCUUCGGGUCGUAAAGCUCUGUGGGGAGGGACGAACAGGUGCGUACCUAACACGUACGUGCCCUGACGGUACCUCCUUAGCAAGCACCGGCUAACCAUGUGCCAGGCAGCCGCGGUAAUACAUGGGGUGCAAACGUUGCUCGGAAUCAUUGGGCGUAAAGCGCACGUAGGCGGCCACUUAAGUCGGAUGUGAAAGCCCUUGGCUUAGUCGAGGAAGGUG